UACGUAGGGGGCGAGCGUUGUCCGGAUUUAUUGGGCGUAAAAGGCUUGUAGGUGGCCACGUCAAGUCGGAUGUGAAAUCUCCCGGCUCAACUGGGAGGGGUCAUUCGAUACUGGCGGGCUCGAGGCCGGUAGGGGGAAGCGGAAUUCCCGGUGUAGUGGUGGAAUGCGUAGAUAUCGGGAGGAACACCAGUGGCGAAGGCGGCUUCCUGGACCGGUUCUGACGCUGAGGUGCGAAAGCGUGGGGAGCAAACGGG
rnacentral:rRNA from 1 species